rnacentral:lncRNA from 1 species
GCGAGUUUAUCGCAUCUAAGCUAUCUGCAUUCAUAAACAUUUCUGCGGUGGCAGCGCGCCGUCAUCACAAAGCUACACCUUAGAAAGAUUAUCUACCGCCACGUGAUGAGAGGUGGGCAACCACAGAAGUAAACAUGAGCUUAAUUAGACUCUGAUUGACCACACAUUUCCAUUAAAAUUACUCCAUCAAUCCAAACGCCAACAGGCUUUUACAACAUUUUCAAUUGAAAUGCGUGUGACUCACUGUCAUUUGUAACAGGAACUUAAGAGAGCACAUUUGAUGUAAGACAAUCUGUAAACUACUUUUGCUGAACAUACUAUUUUAACUAAACUUGAUUUUUCUUUCUUUCUGAAGUAAUAACAGAUACUUAGUCUAUUUUUUUAACAAGAUACUUAGUCUAUUUAAUUAAACUAUUACACUUUUAAUUCUCGCUCGAACUAUACAUGACUUCCUUCCUUAUUGGUGCAGAUGGGUCAAGAAUGUCAUCUGCUCCAAUUGUAAUAUUACAUGGGGAUUCAACCUCCCAAAGGACAUGGCACUUCACCAAAAUAAGUGUUAUGAUCUUGGGAAUCUGAAAAUACCCAUGAGACCAAGCUUCUUUCCAUAUUCAAUAGCU